UACAGAGGUCUCAAGCGUUGUUCGGAUUCAUUGGGCGUAAAGGGCUCGUAGGCGGCCAACUAAGUCCGACGUGAAAUCCCCAGGCUUAACCUGGGAACUGCGUCGGAUACUGGAUGGCUUGAAUUCGGGAGAGGGAUGCAGAAUUCCAGGUGUAGCGGUGAAAUGCGUAGAUAUCUGGAGGAAUACCGGUGGCGAAGGCGGCAUCCUGGACCGACAUUGACGCUGAGGAGCGAAAGCUAGGGGAGCAAACAGG
rnacentral:rRNA from 1 species